GGUUCACAUCUGCAACUAAACUUCUCCCUAUCUGGAAAGGAUAAUAGAAUAAUGCUUGUAAAGCAGUUAGCAUCAUCCUUGGCAUGCUGAUGUAUGCACAGAAAGAAGUCUGGAAAGAUGUCCUCAGACAGAAGUAGCAGUCUCUUCUUGGGGGAAGGGAAGAGGGCGACAGGUCCAGGAGGACUUCUAGCCCCGGACGUCCAGCCCCCAGAGCUGUGAGAGGAGAGAGCAAGACAGAGCAUGAACGGGGGAGGGGCAGAGAGAGAG